rnacentral:rRNA from 1 species
CCGCAAGGUGCUGACGAGUGGCGAACGGGUGAGUAAUGCAUCGGAACGUGCCCAGUCGUGGGGGAUAACGCAGCGAAAGCUGCGCUAAUACCGCAUACGAUCUAUGGAUGAAAGCGGGGGACCGUAAGGCCUCGCGCGAUUGGAGCGGCCGAUGUCAGAUUAGGUAGUUGGUGGGGUAAAGGCUCACCAAGCCAACGAUCUGUAGCUGGUCUGAGAGGACGACCAGCCACACUGGAACUGAGACACGGUCCAGACUCCUACGGGAGGCAGCAGUGGGGAAUUUUGGACAAUGGGCGCAAGCCUGAUCCAGCAAUGCCGCGUGCAGGAAGAAGGCCUUCGGGUUGUAAACUGCUUUUGUACGGAACGAAACGGCGAGCUCUAAUACAGUUUGCUAAUGACGGUACCGUAAGAAUAAGCACCGGCUAACUACGUGCCAGCAGCCGCGGUAAUACGUAGGGUGCAAGCGUUAAUCGGAAUUACUGGGCGUAAAGCGUGCGCAGGCGGUUUUGUAAGACAGUCGUGAAAUCCCCGGGCUCAACCUGGGAAUUGCGAUUGUGACUGCAAAGCUGGAGUGCGGCAGAGGGGGAUGGAAUUCCGCGUGUAGCAGUGAAAUGCGUAGAUAUGCGGAGGAACACCGAUGGCGAAGGCAAUCCCCUGGGCCUGCACUGACGCUCAUGCACGAAAGCGUGGGGAGCAAACA